rnacentral:rRNA from 1 species
GAUGAACGCUGGCGGCGUGCCUAAUACAUGCAAGUCGAGCGAACAGAUGAGGAGCUUGCUCCUCUGACGUUAGCGGCGGACGGGUGAGUAACACGUGGAUAACCUGCCUAUAAGACUGGGAUAACUUCGGGAAACCGGAGCUAAUACCGGAUAAUAUAUUGAACCGCAUGGUUCAAUAGUGAAAGACGGUUUUGCUGUCACUUAUAGAUGGAUCCGCGCCGCAUUAGCUAGUUGGUAAGGUAACGGCUUACCAAGGCAACGAUGCGUAGCCGACCUGAGAGGGUGAUCGGCCACACUGGAACUGAGACACGGUCCAGACUCCUACGGGAGGCAGCAGUAGGGAAUCUUCCGCAAUGGGCGAAAGCCUGACGGAGCAACGCCGCGUGAGUGAUGAAGGUCUUCGGAUCGUAAAACUCUGUUAUUGGGGAAGAACAAAUGUGUAAGUAACUAUGCACGUCUUGACGGUACCUAAUCAGAAAGCCACGGCUAACUACGUG